rnacentral:rRNA from 8 species
UUCGAGGUGGAAGCAUGGUGACAUGUGGAGCUGACGAAUACUAAUAGAUCGAGGACUUAACCAUA